CGACUCUCGGCAACGGAUAUCUCGGCUCUCGCAUCGAUGAAGAACGUAGCGAACUGCGAUACUUGGUGUGAAUUGCAGAAUCCCGUGAACCAUCGAGUCUUUGAACGCAAGUUGCGCCCGAAGCCRUUUGGYCGAGGGCACGUUUGCCUGGGUGUCACAC
rnacentral:rRNA from 1 species